GAUGAACGCUGGCGGCGUGCCUAAUACAUGCAAGUCGAGCGAACAGACGCGGAGCUUGCUCCUCUGACGUUAGCGGCGGACGGGUGAGUAACACGUGGAUAACCUACCUAUCAGACUGGGAUAACUUCGGGAAACCGGAGCUAAUACCGGAUAAUAUAUUGAACCGCAUGGUUCAAUAGUGAAAGACGGUUUUGCUUUCACUUAUAGAUGGAUCCGCGCCGCAUUAGCUAGUUGGUAAGGUAACGGCUUACCAAGGCGACGAUGCGUAGCCGACCUGAGAGGGGGGUCGGCCGCACUGGAGCGGAGACAAGGUCCAGACUCCUACGGGAGGCAGCAGUAGGGAAGCUUCCGCAAUAGGCGAAAGCCGGACGGAGCAACGCCGCGUGGGUGAUGAAGGUCUUCGGAUCGUAAAACUCUGUUAUUAGGGAAGAACAAAUGUGUAAGUAACUAUGCACGUCUUGACGGUACCUAAUCAGAAAGCCACGGCUAACUACGUG
rnacentral:rRNA from 1 species